rnacentral:rRNA from 1 species
UACGAAGGGGGCUAGCGUUGUUCGGAUUUACUGGGCGUAAAGCGCACGUAGGCGGAUCGUUAAGUCGGGGGUGAAAUCCUGGAGCUCAACUCCAGAACUGCCUUCGAUACUGGCGAGCUUGAGUGCCGGAGAGGGUCGCGGAAUUCCCGGCGUAGAGGUGAAAUUCGUAGAUAUUCGGAGGAACACCAGAAGCGAAGGCGGCUCACUGGCCCGAGACUGACGCUGAGGCGCGAAAGCGUGGGUAGCAAACAGG